ensembl:lncRNA
GGGGAUCUUCCCAACUCAGGGAUUGAACCCGGGUCUCCCGCAUUGUAGACAGAUGCUUUACCGUCUGAGCCACCAGGGAAGUCCCCUUGUAAAGCCGGGGGGGGGGGCGGUCCUGGUAAAAAAUGUGGUCAGCAUUCCACUGCAGAACUAUGGUAUCUCCCUAAGAGGAAUAUUAACCUUGGUUUCCAUCACUAAUUGAGAAGAUAGAAUAGAAGGUUUAAAUGCUGGCUCCAGCCUUUACUAGCAGUACGACCCUGAGAACUUAAGCGAGUUAAUAGAACCUCUCUAAACUAUUGCUUUAGUUCAUUAUCAAUAAAUGAGGCUAAUAAUAUCUACCUUAUAGUGCUGCAAUGGUUAAAUGAUAAAGUCCGUGGUAGAGGGUUCAUAUACACUGUGGGCUUCCCUGGUGGCUCAGCUGGUAAAUAGUCAGCCUGCAAUGCGGGAGACCUGGGUUCAGUCCCUGGGUUGGGAAGAUGCCCUGGAGAAGGGAAAGGCUACCCACUUCAGUAUUCUGGCUUGCUUUUAACGUGUACCCGGGCGUCCCCUCACACACUGAUUCUGGACUUGGCCAUGUGACGAGCCUUGACCAGUGGCGCAUUAGCAAGAGCGAUGCAAGUGAAAGCCUGGUAAGUCCUUGCACAUUGGACUCUGUUUUCUUGGAGUCCACCUGCCAUGCUGUGAAGACCCAUAAGCAGCCGUGUGGAGAAGCCCACUUGGAGAAGGAUGGAGGCCUUAAGCCGGCUCCCAACUGGGCUCCCAGCCUGCAGCCAGUACUGAUUUCCAUCCAUCUGUACGAGUCCAUUUUAGAUCUUCUAGACAUCCAACUCAAAGCCAGCAACAUUCUUGAAGCCUAGUAACCUUGUGGUCAACCCCAGAGCUGUAAGAAGGAAUAAGAAGUUUGUGAGAAGCCAUUAAAUUUGGGGUGAUGUGUUAUGCAGCAGUCGAUAGCUAAAACAGAGCCAUGUGGAGUCCUGCCACCACAGGCAGGAUUUUGAUUCUGCAUUGAUUUUGUGUCUGGUGGAAGAGUGGAGAAGUUUGGAGGAAUGACGAAGAGACUGGUGCAGGCUGAAACGCAGUGGAGGCUAUCCUAUGGGAAGCUGCAGGAAAGAGAACUUGAGUCAUGUAGCCGCAGAACAGUUACCAGAACUAUGCUGGUGGAAAUAUGGGAACAAGAAGAGGCGCCUCAUGAACUUGGGGUCUGGCUAAGGAGAUUCCUGGACAGGAUGCUAAAAGUGUCAUCUGCCUCCUUUUAGACACCUGUGGUAAAGUCCAGGAGGAGCUUCUUGAGCUAAAGAAGAAAAUGGUUAGAUUUCAAGCAAAUUUAGAACUAAAAGGGGGCUUCCCUGGUGGUGCAGAGGUUAAAGCGUCUGCCUGCAAUGUGGGAGACCUGGGUUUGAUCCCUGGGUCGGAAAGAUCCCCUGGAGAAGGAAAUGGCAACCCACUCCAGUAUUCUUGCCUGGAGAAUCCUAUGGACGGAGGAGCUUGAUGGGCUACAGUCCAUGGGUCGCAAAGAGUCGGACACGACUGAACGACUUCACUUUCACUUUCACUUAGAACUAAAAAGGCACCAGACCUUGUGGGUUUGAUGAUAAAAUUGCGUUCAUCUCUCCAAGGAAAUUUUCUCAAAGUGAAAAAUGGCCUUGGUUUGAAGAUGAAAUCCAGAGUGCUGUUAGUAAAACAUGACCUCAGGGUCAACGUCUGUGUUAAAACAUGAGCAAGAUUUAAAGAGUAUCUCAGCGGUCCUCUCAGCUAAACAAGAAAACUUCUAAGAAUCUUAAAGGUACCAUGUAAAGCAGAACUAACAGAUCAUCCAGAGGAGCUGGGAGAAACAUUACCUUGUUAUUAAGUCUUUAAGUAUACGGGUGGUUUCUUAUGCAGCAGUAGACCAGCCAAACCGGCCACUAAUGGUUUUAGAUGCACUUGGAUAAUGGUAGGAUAAAACAUUUUUGACUUCACGUUUGACUUUUGCCAUAUAGUCAGAAAAGGGCUACUUUUGCAAAAAUAUUCAAAAUUUUAAUUUUUACCCAUGUGCUCUGUAUCUUUGUCAGCAUCUUUAUUUCCUCUUCUUAAAUUGUUAACUGGUCAAGUUAUAAGGGCUUCCCUUGUAAGCUCAGUUGGUAAAGAAUCUGCCUACAAUGCAGGAGACCCGGGUUCGAUCCCUGGGUCGGGAAGAUAUCCCAGAGAAGGAAAUGGCAACCCACUCCGGUAUUCUUGCUUGGAGAAUCUCAUGGACAGAGGAGCCUGGCAGACUACAGUCCGUGGGGUUGCAAGAGUCGGACACGACUUAGGGAUUAAACCACCACCUUCGCAAGCUGUGUCUAUUCUCAUUUAUUAUUGGCUUGACAUAUUUCAAGUAGUUCUAUGAUAUUGCUUUCAUCAACUUCAUGAAAUCCUAUACCUUUUGCAAUAUUUACAAUUUCUCUUCACUUUCACUGUCCUUGAAUUUAUUAUCUGCUAUAAUGUUGGUAGGAUGGAUACUAAUGUCUUGAAAGAAUGGGUCUUCAGUUAGACAUCAAUUUCAUACAUAGUCAGUUUAUUAAUGAAUGAUUUUUCUUUAAGAAGUUUUGCUUCUUUUAAACAACCCAGACAUUGGAUUCUCAUAUAAUGAGAGGCACUCCGGUACCACUCAAUUUAUAACUGAACAGAGCCUAGGACCAGACAGGGCUUAACGUUCUGGUAGAAGCUGAGUUGAAGUAUGUGAUUCAGGCUCACCGUCUAAGGGGACCUUCUUUUUUUUCACCCUGAAUCUUGGUGCAACCCACUCAGAUGUAACUUUGGGGUGGGAGAGAACUAGAGAGAAGUCUGGCCCACUUAGCAUGCCAUUGUAAAGUGUGGAAGAGGUGGAGAAGAGAAAUGAAUGCUCUGUGAAGACAGCUUCUGCACAGUGUGCAGGAGGAGGCUGACAAGAAAGCUCUCCCCAUCCAUGUAAUCCUCCAAGGCACCGUGAGCCUGCUCCUGGCAAGUGUGACCUGAGGCACGUCCUGGGCGCUGGGCAAUACAAUCAGUACAUCGUCAUCUCUUGUGGGAAGAUAGAAGAAGGAGUGGGUUAAGAAAUAGUAAAGCAGGAAAAGAGGAGAAAAGAAUCUCCUGUCUCUACAGGGUCUGUCAUACUGGAGAGAAUCCAUCCAUUAGGUGAUGGGAAGCUGGUUGGUCAGAAAGCAGUGAAAGGAGUCAUCACAGUGUCCCAUCAAGCCAAAAAUCCUGUGAGAUCCUUCCUCCGGAAUAAGAGCCUGUUUCUCAGCAAGCUUUCUAACAGGAUUUUAACUCUUCUGUGCAGCUGGCCUGAACAUUGAACCAGCAAAUUGAGAACGCACAGUGGUAUGUAUGCUUGGGUCUUAAUGAAAUUUCCCACGUGUGCUAUUCAGUCAGCUUCAAACAUUCUCAGGACAGGUACUGAAGAGCUGAGGAAUCAGGCAGGUGCUCGGAGGUGAGAAUUGGUCCAGGAAACACAGUGUGUGAAUUCACAGUCUAGAGAGUGGACCCAGCUGUGGGUCUUCUCUUUAGCAGGAGGGCUCUUCCCUUUGAAGAACUGUGUCCCUUUCAGCCUGCCGUGGCCUCUCCUACCUCCCUGGGAGACUUCACUUCCUGUGGGAAAGAACCACUCAUUGAUAAUACCUCAGGGAAAGUAAGAGCAGCAUUAGAAUAAUCACACAGAUACCCUCUCUCCACUUCUCAACUGUGGCUUAUUUCCAUUUGCUUCCAAGGACACUGAUGUGAAAGGGAACAAUGCGAUAUUGAUGUCAAUGAAACCCACCUUGCUCUCAGUCUGAGGGUUGGUUAUGCUCUGAAAUAUAAGGGGGAACUUGGUUCCUUAGAGACCCAUCUGAGCCCCACCCAUGCUAAAUCUUAACCGUGGUCAGUGGACUUUAUUUAAGUGAGGGUGUUUCAGAGGACGUUAACAAGGUUCUCAAGCCAUUCUUCCCCCGGUAAAGGCUGUGUCUUCUAAGGCAAGCCUUUCUCUCCCCAACCUGUUGAUGGCACCAAUUUGACUUUUGGUAGAUAUUCCCCCCAAAAGGAGGGUGCUCUGUUUUAUUCACUUCUGUAUCCCCAGAGCCUAGAAUAGUGCCUGACACAUGGCAGUUGAAAGGGAAAUGUUGCAAGUUAUUUGUUGAAAUGUACCUGUCAUUGACAACAGUGUCAAGAUGCUCAAUCUAUGCCUAGCCACUUCCAUUUGGCAUCUAGAAACUUAAACGAGAGGAUGGUGGAGAUUUGGUUCGAUAGACUUAAAAUUGCAACAGGAAAGACCCUCAGCUCAGCUUCUGGAAAAACCAACCAGUCCCCCUGUUUCUGUUUUGCCAACUGUGAAAAGGGGUCUGGCCAAGUCUUCACUGUGACAGAGGGAGGAAAAAAUGCGAGCACGGUGUUUAUCACCUAAGAGAGUGAUGCGUUCCUGCGAGGUGCUUGUCAACUCCACUCUUAGCUCCUUCUUUUUCUGAAAAGCAGACUUGGGAAACUAUAGAGUGAGACGUCUAUCAAGAGUCCAUCCCUCUUGUUUCUACCUUCUCCUGAUAGAAUUGCCAUGGAUUCAGCACCACAAUGGUUGUUUAGGCUAAAUAUUGGUCCCCAGAUUGGAUGCCUACAUGUCCUAAACCUGCCUUCUGAAAAUGUACUCUGUAUGAACAGGCAAGCGAAGGACAAUGUAUGUGGCAUGUCAGCAGUCCCAUAACUUCCCUGUUAUAGAACAAGAUUCCCACAGAGUUUGAACACAGAAUCAUCUUUAAGGAAGGCACUGUUUGGGAGCCAAGGGACCCCAGGCAGGGAUUCCUAACCCCAAGCCCCAUUCCCAGCACCCCUAACUGCCUGUAGUUCUGUGACCAGAGCAAAGCGUUUAACCCUUGGGACUCAGCUUCUUUGUCUGUGAAAUAACACUGGCUUCCUGCCUCCCAAGGGGACAGAAAGAAGACUGAUUUAAUAUUUACAUAGCACAUUGAGAACUUCCAGGACAGGCACCAUACAACUGGGAAAUAUGAUAUAAUGGGAAGAAUGUCUUUUAAGUUGUUGGUCUCUGCUCAGCCUUUCCACUUGAGCAUGUUUCCACUUGCUCAUUUGCAAGUCUCGUCUGGUCUUUGCUUUCUGGUGGGCUUUUUCCUUCUCCCUUGUGCAUGUGUGCAGGUUUGGGCAACUGUGAGUAUGUGGAUGGCCUCAGUUUCCGCUUUGCAUGCCUGUAAAUCCAGAGUAUUUGGAAGUCCUUAUCAGACCCAGAUGGCUGUCUUCCCUCCCAGAACUUCCAGUGAAAUCCCUCGCUACUAUGUUGUUUGCCCCACAUAGGACUAUCACCUCAGAGAACCCUGUUUGCUUACAACUCGAGCUCACCGUUUUACAGCACAUCAGGUCAGGUGAGUCCCUUCUGGCAGUGGCAGCAGGCCUUGUUCCCAGGAUCUGCCAUCACCCUGGUUGAACUGCUGCCUGUGAAGGUCCAGGAUGCGGCAGCGCAGGAAGCCCACAGGCUCACAGGUUCUUUCCUGAACUGGUUGUCAGGAGUAAGCACUUCUUAGUUUGUUGUAGAUAAUCAGUUCAUUUCCAGAGUGCUGAGAUGGCUAUUUUAUUCAACACUUUGUCCAGAUUUCUAGCUGCUUUUUUUGAGCUGAUUCAUCAGUCUCCAACGUGAAUUUUCCAUCUUAUUCUGAAUCACAUUCCACCCAAAUUAACUUCAUAAGGAUAGACUUCAAGAGGACUCAAACAUUUCAAAGCUAUCUGUUCAAAGCUACCAUAGUGCCAGAGUUUUACAAGUAACCUAUACCUACUUUUGAUAAUUGAUAUGUGUUUUAUUUUUAGAUAUUAUUUGUAUUUGUUCAUACUCAUUCCAAAAGUAAAUACUGAGUUAUUUCAAUCUGCCUAGUUAUAAGCAUAUUUUUUAAUAUAAGUAUGUAAUAUUUUAAUAAAAUAUGUUGGAAUGUAGGCUUGAUCUUUGGAUUGAAAGAAACAACACUUAGUCAUGGACAUAAACUUUGGAGAGUUGAUACGUUUGAACUGAGCUGUUUAUUUCUAUGCAAAUUCUCCCCUGCCUCCUAUUCUGUCACACUAAUCCCUGUUCUUUUAGGCAAGAAUGUAAUUCCCUUAUACCCCCUCCUGUCUUUUAAAAUAGAAACUUACUUUAGUUAUGUAUCAGUGCUUCAAACAAGAAUAUAAUGGGUGGCUAAUCUGUUAUAAAUUUGAGAAUGCAUUUCAUGAAAAAAAGUUACAGAGCUGCCAAAGAGGGAGGGCUACAGAGAGAGAGAGAGAGGAUGUAAAACCUAGUUUGGGGAGCUUGUUAGGAAUCUAAUUUUCUGCAGUUCUGGAAGCAGGUGUAACAUGCCCAGGGAGCCUGGAAUCUAAAGAAGCUUAUAACCCUGGCUCAGGACGGGAGAAGAACUGGUUGUAUUGAGACUGUUCUGCAUUUUCUGCAUUUGCUUUGACAGAUUCCUUUUGAAUGCUUACGGAGGACCAAAUGUUGGUCUAGAGAGAAAGUGAGCCAUGUUGGGGGACCCACGUUAGAUACUAUACAGAAGGGCACUUAGAGGUGUGGACGGGCCCCAGAAAAGGAUAAUCUGAAAUGGUGCUCUGGAUUCCUUAAGAGCUAAGAAGAAAAGUCACCAGAGUGGAUUACAUACACUUAGGUCAAUGGCAUUACAGGUGAGAAAGCUGUGGGCACAGACUGCUCAAAAUCAUCUCCCAUAACUCUGCUACUUCUGCAGUUUUGAUCCCGGCGGGUCAGAAACCAUAAACUGCCAUCUAACCCUCAUCCAAGGUAAGGAGCAGCAGCUGUGCUUUGCUGGAGCAGACGUGAAGAGAUAACCCCACGUCCAAGGUAAAGAGAAACCAAGUAAGAUGGUAGGUGUUGCAAGAGGGCAUCAGAGGGCAGACACACUGAAACCAUGCUCACAGAAAACUAGUCAAUCUAAUCACACUAGGACCACAGCCUUGUCUAACUCAAUGAAACCAAGCCAUGCCUGUGGGGCAACCCAAGACAGGCGGGUCAUGGUGGAGAGGUCUGACAGAACGUGGUCCACUGGAGAAGGGAAUGGCAAACCACUUCAGUAUUCUUGCCUUGAGAACCCCAUGAACAGUAUGAAAAGGCAAUAUGAUAGGAUACCAAAAGAGGAACUCCCCAAGUCAUUAGGUGCCCAAUAAGCUACUGGAGAUCAGAGGAGAAAUAACUACAGAAAGAACGAAGGGAUGGAGCCAAAGCAAAAACCAUACCCAGUUGUGGAUGUGACUGGUGAUAGAAGCAAGAUCUGAUGCUAUAAAGAGCAGUAUUGCAUAGGCACCUGGAAUGUCAGGUCCAUGAAUCAAAGCAAAUUGGAAGUGGUCAAACAAGAGAUGGCAAGGGUGAACGUCAACAUUCUAGGAAUCAGCAAACUAAAAUGGACUGGAAUGGGUGAAUUUAACUCAGAUGACCAUUAUAUCUAUUACUGCGGGCAGGAAUCCCUCAGAAGAAAUGGAGUAGCCAUCAUGGUCAACAAAAGAGUCCAAAAAGCAGUACUUGGAUGCAAUCUCAAAAUGACAGAAUGGUCUCUGUUUGCCUCCAAGGCAAACCAUUCAAUAUCACAGUUAUCCAAGUCUAUGCCCCAAGCAGUAAUGCUGAGGAAGCUGAAGUUGAAUGGUUUUAUGAAGACCUACAAGACCUUUUAUAACUAACACCAAAAAAAGAUGUCCUUUUCAUUAUAGGGGACUGGAAUGCAAAAGUAGGAAGUCAAGAAACACUUGGAGUAACAGGCAAGUUUGGCCUUGGAAUGCGGAAUGAAGCAGGGCAAAGACUAAUAGAGUUUUGCCAAGAAAAUGCACUGCUCAUAGCAAACAGCUUCCAACAACACAAGAGAAGACUCUACACAUGGACAUCACCAGAUGGUCAACACCAAAAUCAGAUUGAUUAUAUUCUUUGCAGCCAAACAUGGAGAAGCUCUAUACAGUCAAAAAAACAAGACCAGGAGCUGACUGUGGCUCAGAUCAUGAACUCCUUAUUGCCAAAUUCAGACUUAAAUUGAAGAAAGUACGGAAAACUGCUAGACCAUUCAGGUAUGGCCUAAAUCAAAUCCCUUAUGACUAUACAGUGGAAGUGAGAAAUAGAUUUAAUGGCCGAGAUCUGAUAGAUAGAGUGCCUGAUGAACUAUGGACGGAGGUUCGUGACAUUGUGCAGGAGACAGGGAUCAAGACCAUCUCCAUGGAAAAGAAAUGCAAAAAAGCAAAAUGGCUGUCUGGGGAGGCCUUAAAAAUAGCUGUGAAGAGAAGAGAGGCAAAAGCAAAGGAGAAAAGGAAAGAUAUAAGCAUCUGAAUGCAGAGUUCCAAAGAAUAGCAAGAAGAGAUAAGAAAGCCUUCCUCAGCGAUCAAUGCAAAGAAAUAGAGGAAAACAACAGAAUGGGAAAGACUAGAGAUCUCUUCAAGAAAAUUAGAGAUACCAAGGGAACAUUUCAUGCAAAGAUGGGCUCGAUAAAGGACAGAAAUGGUAUGGAGCUAACAGAAGCAGAAGAUAUUAAGAAGAGGUGACAAGAAUACAUGGAAGAACUUUACAAAAAAGAUCUUCACGACCCAGAUAGUCAUGAUGAUGUGAUCACUAAUCUAGGACCAGACAUCUUGGAAUGUGAAGUCAAAUGGGCCUUAGAAAGCAUCACUAUGAACAAAGCUAGUGGAGGUGAUGGAAUUCCAGUUGAGCUGUUUCAAAUCCUGAAAGAUGAUGCUGUGAAAGAGCUGCACUCAAUAUGCCAGCAAAUUUGGAAAACUCAGCAGUGGCCACAGGACUGGAAAAGGUCAGUUUUCAUUCCAAUCCCAAAGAAAGGCAAUGCCAAAGAAUGGUCAAACUACCACACAAUUGCACUCAUCUCACAUGCUAGUAAAGUAAUGCUCAAAAUUCUCCAAGCCAGACUUCAGCAAUACGUGAACCGUGAACUCCCUGACGUUCAAGCUGGUUUUAGAAAAGGCAGAGGAACCAGAGAUCAAAUUGCCAAUAUCCACUGGAUCAUGAAAAAGCAAGAGCGUUCCAGAAAAACAUCUAUUUCUGCUUUAUUGACUAUGCCAAAGCCUUUGACUGUGUGGAUCACAAUAAACUGUGAAAAUUCUUCUAGGGUGGGAAUACCAGACCACCUGACCUGCCUCUUGAGAAAUCUGUAUGCAGGCCAGGAAGUAACAGUUAGAACUGGACGUGGAACAACAGACUGGUUCCAAAUAGGAAAAGGAGAAUGUCAAGGCUGUAUAUUGUCACCCUGCUUAUUUAACUUCUAUGCAGAGUACAUCAUGAGAAACGCUGGACUGGAAGAAACACAGCUGGAAUCAAGAUUGCCGGGAGAAAUAUCAAUAACCUCAGAUAUGCAGAUGACACCACCCUUAUGGCAGAAAGUGAAGAGGAGCUAAAAAGCCUCUUGAUGAAAGUGAAAGAGGAGAGUGAAAAAGUUUGCCUAAAGCUCAACAUUCAGAAAACGAAGAUCAUGGCAUCCGGUCCCAUCACUCCAUGGGAAAUAGAUGGGGAAACAGUGGAAACAGUGAAAGACUUUAUUUUUGGGGGCUCCAAAAUCACUGCAGAUGGUGACUGCAGCCAUGAAAUUAAAGGACGCUUACUCCUUGGAAGAAAAGUUAUGACCAACCUAGAUAGCAUAUUCAAAAGCAGAGACAUUACUUUGCCGACUAAGGUCCGUCUAGUCAAGGCUAUGGUUUUCCAGUGGUCAUGUAUGGAUGUGAGAGUUGGACUGUGAAGAAGGCUGAGUGCCGAAGAAUUGAUGCUUUUCAACUGUGGUGUUGGAGAAGACUCUUGAGAGUCCCUUGGACUGCAAGGAGAUCCAACUAGUCCAUUCUGAAGGAGAUCAGCCCUGGGAUUUCUUUGAAGGGAAUGAUGCUAAAGCUGAAACUCCAGUACUUUGGCCACCUCAUGUGAAGAGUUGACUCACUGGAAAAGACUCUGAUGCUGGGAGGGAUUGGGGGCAGGAGAGAAGGGGACGACCGAGGAUGAGAUGGCUGGAUGGCAUCACGGACUCGAUGGACAUGAGUCUGAGCGAACUCCAGGAGAUGGUGAUGAACAGGGGGACCUGGCUGCUGCAAUUCAUGGGGUCACAAAGAGUCGGACAUGACUGAUCAACUGAACUGAACUGAACUGAACUGAAAGGGGGAAGAAUGGAAUUAGGCAGGAAAGCUAAAGAGCACCAUGCCUGCCUUCCACCCCUACUGCACGUGGGCAUCUUGCAGUUUGCCUGAGCUGGUUAAGCCUCACUUGGUGUUUUUAUCGUUAGAGACUGGAAAUUAUUUUUAAGUACUUUGUGAGUGAAAGCAAUUCUGGACUUUUUAUUAUUUGAGAGUAAGGUUUUUCAACCUGGGUUGGGAGAAGAACCUCUGUGAAAAUUUCAAAGGGUAGUGGGAGAGGGUGUUGCCUUCUAAUUAUAUUCAUGAGUCAAAAAUAGUGAUUACAUAAACUCAAAAUGGAUUAAAGAUCUAAAUGUAAGAUCAGAAACCAUAAAACUCCUAGAGGAGAACAUAGGCAAAACACUCUCAGACAUAAAUCACAGCAGGAUCCUCUAUGAUCCACCUCCCAGAAUUCUGGAAAUAAAAGCAAAAAUAAACAAAUGGGAUCUAAUUAAAAUUAAAAGCUUCUGCACAACAAAGGAAAAUAUAAGCAAGGUGAAAAGACAGCCUUCUGAA